UGAGGGUUGGGGGCGGGGUCCAUUGUGUUUGCCAGAACUAAUGGUAUCAUAACUCGCAUCUGUUACAUUAAAGCAGGGCCAAACUCUACACGUUGGUAUUGACACUAGCCUGACUAAUGAUUAAGCUGGUCUUGGUUUACCUAGUGCUUAACACGUCCAGUCUCCAUUUACUGCAAGGCAGUCCAUGUGACAGACCACUGAAAGUAUAACUUCCUCCUGUAUUCUGUGUGGUACAGGCAAAUAAUUAAUUAACACUUAUUAAACCAAGUGCAGAAUAUAUAUAUACACACACACACACACAGUGGAGUGCAAUUUUUCAUUCACUUGAAUUGGGGACAGUAUCUUAUCUUCACAAAACAAAAACACUGUGCAUGUGGCCAACUAAUGUACUGAUCACUACUGAGCUAAAAAUUAUGGGUGUUUUAUGCUACUCUUAUAUUUGUGUUGAAUGUAAAGCUGUUACUACUAUUCUGAGGUACAACAACAUUGAGCAGACUUUUAAUCCUUUCAGUGCAGGGCAUGUGAUUGUUGAUUAACCAUUCACCCCGCCCCUCUGUACAUACUGAACAGCUUGUCAAAGGUUGCUUCUCUGUUCAUGUCUUUUAAUUUAAGAAAAUAAUAAUAGAACACGUCAAGGCCUCACACUAUUUGGACUGAUAAACCGGUUCGCAUAUUUGUAUUUAAUGGAUCGUGCUGCAGUGACUUGUUGCAUUAACUUAUUUCCAAGCUGAAAUCUUGCUCCAAUCAACCAAAAUUGUUACUACUGUUGGUAAUUCCUUUUUCUUAACAUUGCUACUGUGGGCAGCCUUGUUUGAUUAAAUUACUUUUGAACACAUUGAAUGUGGUAUGUGCUUUUUAAAUAUCAGUCCUUUUGUUGAAAUUAACAAUGUCAAGUUUCUUUUUCUUUUAAAAGCUACAGUGUGUAGGAUUUAACGUCUUUUGUGAAAUUGCAUGUUGCAGCUGAUUAUCACUCACCUCACUCUUCCUACUCAAGCAUGUAGUAGAACCUAUGGUAGCCUGAAGUUAUCUUCAAAACUCAAAAUGGUGUGUUUUUUUUAUAUUCCAUUUCUGCCAAAUGGAAAUGUAUUCACCAAAAUCUUCCACACUGUGCCUCUCUGGGUUCUUUGACUUCCAGAGAAAUACGAAUGUGCUGACUGGUUUCAGAUUAAAAUCUAAAGUGAAUGUAGAUGUAAAUUGAGUGUGAAAUGUUUCUCUCUGUAAGUCUGAAAAACAAACAAACUGUAAUACAACAGAGAUCUUAGACAACACUGCUACAAUAAAUGUUAACUGGUUGACCUCUAAACAUGAAAUGGCUUAAUUAAUGUGGUUUGUUGAUCUACAAUGGGCUUUUAAGUGAUGAUAGAUAGCAGUUUGGGGCUCCCACUUGACUCUGGAAGUCACAAUGUGGGAACAUAGCUUAAGUGGAAGAGAAUACAUGAAUAUUUCUUGUCCCUUGACUUAAAAGCCAUCAGUUAUGGAUGAUUAGCCGACUCACAAGAAGAAUAUGCAAACAACAUCGCUUUAUGUCUCAAUGUGAACAUAGUAUGAAUUGUAUGCCUGUCAAAGGAGCCUGUGUCACUUCACUGAUGUGUCAUAUAACACAUUACUCCCAUUAGUGUCUUUAAAUUAAACUAAUAUAUUAGUUUAAAGAAACUACAAUUUGUUUUGAGCUUGCUUAAUUUCUUCUUUUGAAAUUGGAUGUGGUUUUACACACCACAGAAGUGUUUUUUGUAUGCUGAUCUAAAAAUAAAAUCCCCUUAACUCUCUUUGGGGAUUAUUAGGUCUGCCCCUCCCAUCAUGCAUAUGUUUUGUUAUGAAACAACCCAAUAUAAUUAUAAUCGAAAACCCCUUAGUUUGGUUGGAAGCAGAUCAACUGUACCAUUUCAAACCAUGUGAUGCUUCCAUCUUCUAAGCUGUUGUCUGUGGUAAUUAGUGGAAGUGCCAUCACCUGGCAGUGAAAGAGGAAGAACCUGUCUGAGGAAGGGAAGAUAAGGUCGUACAAACAUCCCUGUGAACUGAUCCUUUGUUACUAAUGGUGAGUGAGGUUUGCCAUUUUAAUUAUUGAAGCAAAACAUUAGCACAGAAAAGAAGCUCGGUAAACUAUAUCCCUUUGUCCCAACUGCAUCCAGAUGGCUUCUAGGUUUGGCCUGAGUAGAGUUGGGAGACACCAGGAGUAUUCAGACUCCUCUCGGCUCAGGGAUCCCAGCCCCAAUCCUCUGAAUGAGGUCUCUCACAGUGCCUCCUGGUGGGCUGACCGGGAGGAGCACAGGGAGCAGGAAGACUUACUCAGAGUGAGUUCAAAAGAGCAACUGCAAGAGAUGGACGAGCACGUGGCCAGACUCCAGGACAUGCUGAGGUGUGAGCGAAACAAAUGCAACCAUCUGCAGCUGCGUGGUAACCAGCUGCAGGCAGAGCUGAGGCGUCGAGAGCAACACAGCAACAGACUGAAGGAGCGACUGUCUCAGUUCACAGUCAGACACAAGGAGAAAGGAGCCUCCAUAGAGGUGCUGAACUGUCCACCUGCAGGCCGAGGCAAAAGAGAGCAGCCCGUCAAGUCAAUCAAGUCUGCUGCAAAACGUGAAGAAGCAGCACUACGUGUGAUGCUGGAGCGCAGAGAAGCAGAGCUCAGAGAGGCGAUGAAGCUGCGUCACAGCCUCACCACUUUGCUUCAUGCACUACGAGUCAACAUGGAACAGACCCUUUCGGACUCUGUGGAUAAGCAGGAUGAGGCACCAAAUGACGACAAAUCCUUGUAUGAAGCUGAGAUGGUGCUUGGUGACCAUGUGACAGGAGGAGUGGUUCAGAGUUGGAGGACGUUGCAAAGGAGACUGGGAGACCUCAUGUCUGAUGGUCACACUGGUGUUGGUACUGACCAUGAUAAACUCUUGGCUCAGCUAGAGACUGAGCUAAGAGAGAGUCAACAGCUUGUCAGAUUACAACAGCAACUGCUGCAGGGGAGCAUUGCCUCACCUGUCCCAUCUGAACUGGCUGAUUCAUACUUUUUGGAAGAGUGGGAACGUCUUCAGAUGCGGUGGGCAGAGUUAAAUCAUCAGAGGAGAACCUUUGAAAGGGAGAGGCAGUCCUUCACAGAUGCUGCCAUCCGACUGAGCCGUGAGCGCUGUGAUUUUGAGCAGCAGAGGGCCCAUCUCAUGAAGCAGAAGUAUUUGUGUGACUCACCUCUGUUUGGCAAAGGAGUGCCAAGCAGCAAGAGAAGAGAGAGUACUCUGAGUAAGUACUCAUGUAAAUAAAGGGUGAAAUGGUAAGAAGUCAAUGUUUUAAUGCAGUGAAAUGUUUGCACUACAAAAACCUUACAAGCAUCGUGCAUCUGACUCUAGAUUUCACAGGUUUGGGCCCCAGCAGCAUAUCUAGCUGUCUUCCCAUUACUCCAUCGUCCUCAGGGUCAGGGUCAGCUAUGCUUUCUGUAUUACAAGAGGGGAGAGUUGGACUUCCAACUCCUAGCACUCCUGAGCUCUAUGCUGCCCUCAAUCUCUCACACAGCUGCAGAUCCAGAAAGGUUGAUAAGCAGUCAGAGACAUGGCACAGCAGUACAGAAGGGAUAGAGGACCCACCACUGGCUUCACAAUUGGACUGGUCAUUUUAAUAUCAUGUUAAUCUGUUUAAAAAAUCAUAUUGUACCUUAUUUUCUCUAUUUAAAAUAAAGGCUAAAUAUAUUUUUA